UUAGAUACCCUAUUAUACUAAUAAAAACCUAAAUUAUUAAUAGAUAUAGACUUUAAACUUGAAGAAUUUGGCGGUGAUUUAAUCUUAUUAGAGGAACCUGUCUUUGAAUCGAUAAACCACGUAGAAUCUUACUCAUUUUAUUUAGUUUAUAUACCGUCAUUAUCAGAUGAUUUUAAGAGAAUUUAAUCAUUAAAGAUUGUAAAAUACAAAUUAAAUUAGAUCAAGGUGUAGCUUAUAAAUGAGUUAGGAUGGGUUACAAUAAAUAUUUAUUUAUACGAAUUAGCUGAGGGAGAAAGUUGCUAGGAAGGAGGAUUUAACUGUAAUUUGAGUUUAAUAAGCUUGAAAGAUAUAAGCUCUAAAUCAUGUACAUAUCGCCCGUCGCUA
rnacentral:rRNA from 1 species